GCAGGACCAAAAUAUUUUGAUAGAAGAUAAAAUCUCUGGAAGUAAAUAAAUAAAAUUUCUCUUUAAUUAGUUGUUUAAGACUUCUAAUUAAAUCCCAGAAUUAUAAUGAAAUGAUAUGAAAAUGAAUUUCUAGAGAGAGUCAUAAAAACCUAAUAGAAGAGUAAGGCUUAAAGAAGGAGAACCAUAUAAUAAGAUGCAUAUCAUAAAGUUAUUAUAUAUAUAUAUAUAUUCUUAAAGCUGAAAUUUAGCUUGUAUUUUGUUUCUAAAAAGGAAGAACAUACAGGAAGAUAACUUUGAGAAACAGAGAAUUACGAAAAUCCUAGGAAGCAAAAACAAGGUUGAGCAGCGAAGUGGUGGAUGAAGUGCUAUUGAGACAAUACAUUUAAUUCAGUCAGAUUAGGACUCUCGGAGGUUCAUGUCUCCAUACAUGGAACCGCGUUCAUUUGCUUCCGUUGUGCAUCUUAAAAGACUCAAGUCUAUUUUGUUCAAAACUCUGGUGUAUUGAAAUUUUUACAAACGAUUACUCGAGUUUCAUGAUCGAGUAUCUUUCCUUCUAUGUAUCAGCACUUGAUUAGUCA